rnacentral:ncRNA from 1 species
AUAAAAAUGUUUAGAAAUCGAGUAAUUUAAAUAUUUAUUUUCAAGAGAGUUAGUGUUUGGUGUAAACUAAUAUUAAAUUUUAAAUGAAAAACAGUUUCUAUUGUUGCCUAAAGAAAUUAUUUAUUAAAAGUAGAAUAGGCCGGUUAAAACCGUUAUAUUAUAAGAGUUAAAAUAAGGUGGUACCGCGAAAUGUUUCGUCCUUUGG